rnacentral:rRNA from 1 species
UACAGAGGGGGCAAGCGUUAUUCGGAAUUAUUGGGCGUAAAGGGCGCGUAGGCGGCCGGACAAGUGGAAGGUGAAAUCCCCGAGCUCAACUCGGGAACUGCCCUCCAAACUGUUUGGCUUGAGUCCGGGAGAGGUGAGUGGAAUUCCCAGUGUAGCGGUGAAAUGCGUAGAGAUCGGAAAGAACACCAACGGCGAAAGCACUCUGCUGGGCCGACACUGACACUGAGAGACGAAAGCUAGGGGAGCGAAUGGG